GGGGAGAGGCGGGGGCGGCCGGGCGGCCCACUGAAUCGACCCGCCGCCCCUGGAGCAGCGCACAUGUCAGGCCCCGAAAGCCCCGACCGGACUGAGCAGCCGCUCGGCCGCGCGGGGUCCCGUCGAUCGCCCCGGCUCUGCCGCCGCCUCCCGCGUUCGCUCCGGCCGGGGAAUCAGGGGACCGCAGCCGCCGCCAAGGACCAGGCUCGAGGCUACGCGCGGGGCGCCGCAACUUCGCCGCCAGCCGGGGCCGCCACGGUGGAUUUGGCUGGAAGCAGGGGGAUGAGGAACACACAGAAGAGGACCUGGCUUCUGUCAUCCCAUCAACAGUCCUCAGUGAUUCUCCCAUGAACAGCAUGUGGGAAUGUGGCCCCAGGCCUGGCCUUCCCCACAAGGUGAUGAUGGUGGAGCACACCAGGAUGGCAGACAGCUGGACAAACAUCCCUGCUUUCAAGAGCUCAUGGGAUCACACUGUAUUGACCCAGUCAGCCUGACUACUCACUAUAUAAUAAGGUUCAUCAUUAUAUGACAGUCCUUAUUAUGGACUAUUUCCUGGCUGGAGUUUGCUCUCAGCCCCUAAAGACUGCUCUCCUUUUGUGUGGAAUCGGACUUCCCUUCUACUAUCAGCUGGAGAACAUUCUGCCUUAAAAUGGUAAUGGAGUUAAAUUAAGGCUACCCGGAUAAUCUCCUUAUCUUAAAGUCAACUGAUUAGUAUCUUAAUUAAUAAUUAUGGAAGAAAAACCUGGGCUAAUGUCAAGAAAGCCACCUGCCUACCCUGUCACAGUCCCAGGUGAAAUUGUGAGAAUAAAUAAUUUCAGAUGAGAUCCCUCAACAAGAAACAUUGUCGAUUUAUUAUAAUUUUUAAAUUAUGAAAUAUGUCUCAAGAAGAUGUCUGUUUUGGAAAAUUAUAUAAGAAAGCUGGAGAGAGAAGAGAUGUUGCACCCAAGUGGGAAAUGUCUUAACAUUAAGCAAGUUAAAAAAUAAAACUUUUAAAUAUAACUUGAAAAAUACUUUUUACUAUUUAAAGUUGAAUCUUUUCCAGAAAGUGUAAAAAUGAACAGUGUAUAGUUAU